CCGCGGAGGCCCAGUGGUAGGGUUUCGGCUUUGGGAGCGGAGGGUCCAGGCUCGAAACCUGAUUCCACUGA